CGCGUAGGCGGAUUUGUAAGUCGGGUGUGAAACCUGCCGGCUCAACUGGCAGCCUGCACUCGAUACUGCAUAUCUUGAGUACGGGAGAGGAAAGCGGAAUUCCAGGUGUAGCGGUGAAAUGCGUAGAUAUCUGGAAGAACACCAGUAGCGAAGGCGGCUUUCUGGACCGAUACUGACGCUAAAGCGCGAAGGCAUGGGGAGCAAACA
rnacentral:rRNA from 1 species